rnacentral:rRNA from 1 species
UACGUAGGUGGCAAGCGUUGUCCGGAAUUAUUGGGCGUAAAGCGCGCGCAGGCGGCCUUUUAAGUCUGAUGUGAAAGCCCACGGCUCAACCGUGGAAGGUCAUUGGAAACUGAAAGGCUUGAGUACAGAAGAGGAAAGCGGAAUUCCACGUGUAGCGGUGAAAUGCGUAGAGAUGUGGAGGAACACCAGUGGCGAAGGCGGCUUUCUGGUCUGUAACUGACGCUGAGGCGCGAAAGCGUGGGGAGCGAACAGG